GUUUGGAACAACAUGAGGGUAAGUUAUUAAUGACAUAAUUUUGCUAUUUGGGCGAACCAUCCAUUUAAUAUUAAAUUAAUAAUUGUUAAAAAGUAAAAUUAGUAAGCUUUGCACAUGAAACAAAGACUGCAUUAAAGAAAAGACUGCACAAAAGCUUCUUCCUGCUUUGGCAAUGGGCUUUACUUCUGCAGAAGUAGUAAACACAUUGGCUUUUGAUUUUUGGUAAGAAAAAACAUUAUUUUUUACCACAAUUUAUUAAUUCUUAGUCCAGGUAAAAUACUGUUGUCUGCAUAACCAUGUUUUGACAUUUGUCACCAUCACAGGAUGUGCAGACAUAAAAGUCAUCGAGGCAAGAAAACCAGCCGAUCAGUGCGAGGUGCGUCUCUCUUCAAGAGAUCAAAACUCAGCUUGUCAUCUUGGCUAACAUUCAUUUACAGGUUCGCGCAGGGAUUGCAGAUAAGACAAAUUGAUAUGAUGCAAGAUGGCAUUGCAAAAAGUUCGAGAACCCUCUCUGGGUUUGCUCGUAUCAUGAGGAAAGUUUGCCACUGUGCCAUAAAAUGAUUCAGACGAAGACAUGGACAAAUGAUUGGAAGUGCUCGAGAAUUUGAUGUUCUUGAUGAAAGUAACUUUCGUCAUAAACGAAAGUAUGGACGAGGGAGAGCAUCAACAACAUGA